rnacentral:tRNA from 1 species
GCAUUGGUGGUUCCGUAGUAGAAUUCUCACCUCCCAGGUGGAAGACUGGAGUUCGAUUCCCAGCCAAUGCA